UACGGGGGGAGCAAGCGUUGUUCGGAUUUACUGGGCGUAAAGGGCGCGUAGGCGGCCACUGCAAGUCGGUUGUGAAAUCUCCGGGCUUAACCCGGAAAGGUCAAUCGAUACUGCAGGGCUAGAGUGCGGAAGGGGCAACUGGAAUUCUCGGUGUAGCGGUGAAAUGCGUAGAUAUCGAGAGGAACCCCUGCGGCGAAGGGGGGUUGCUGGGCCGACACUGACGCUGACAGCGCGAAAGCUAGGGGAGCGAACGGG
rnacentral:rRNA from 1 species